rnacentral:lncRNA from 1 species
GCGAAUAUACCUAACAAUUUCAUAAAAUUGAAUAUAUAUAUAUAAAUCCAUACUCAUCAAAUACAUAUAAACUAAUGUUUAUAUGCUCAUCAAACACAAUGACCAAAUGUAUAUACAUAUUCUAUAAAUCCAUAUGACUAAAUCAUACACAUAUUCGAUACAUGUAAACACAUGAUAUGAAUAGAUUCACCGGCACAAAACCUGCUAGGCUUAAGGCCUGAUUCAAUACAUUGGCACUUAGCCUGCUGGACAUAUAGUCUGAAAUGUUUCACCGGCGUCAAGCCUGCUAGACUUAAAGUCUGAAAUGUUUCACCGGUGUCAAGCCUGCUAGACUUAAAGUCUGAAAUGUUUCACCGUCGACAAGCCUGCUAGACUUAAAGUCUGAAACAUAUCACUGGCAUCAAGCCUGCUAGGCACCGAGCCUGAACACUCAAUUUAUAUAAAUACAAAUCACUUUCAAAAUGUAUAUGUAUAUAAGAUUCCAUGUAUAAAAAUUUAGCUCAAUAUAUAUAAAUUAUGCCUUUAAACCACAUAGGUAUAUAAAGUUCAGAUAUUGAAUCCAGCUCAAUAACUUAAUUAUACAUAUGAUCAUAUACAGAUAUAUAACUUAAUACAUUAAGGGCUACUAUUAAUAUCAUGCAUUCGAACAUCUUAUAGUAAUCCAAGCUAACAAUUUUGUACCUUCAACUCCAUUCAAAAGCUUCACAUGAAUAUAAUUACAUAAUUGAAUCUCACAUAAACUUAUAUAAUUAUCAUACCUAAAUUCAAUACAUAAACAUGUACAUAUAUAAGUUUGUAUAUAUUCGAGUCUCAUACAUACUUUAUAAAAUAGUCAUACCUAAAUUUAACACAAAAACAUAUUCAAUUAUAUUUGUAUUUCCAAACUUCAUAUAAACUUAUAUAAAAAUUAUACCCAAACUCAAUACAAAAACAUAUACAUGUAAAUAUAUAUUUAUGUGCUCAUUCAAUUCUAUCAUAUACAUAUAAAUUUCAACUCACAUGUACAUACCAUUUCAAAACUACUUAUGCAAAUAUAACAUAUAUAUUUUUAAUCAAUCCAAUAGUUUGUACAUAUAUGUACUUACAUAUAUAUAUACAUUCGAACCUUCUAUAUAUAUACACUAUACAUACCUUUCGAUUAAUAACCAAGAAUUUAUACAUAAGCCAUAUUCAUUCUUCAACUAAAUUCAAGAGCUUACAUAUAUGUGUAUACAUAUAUGUAUAUUCGAACAUUAAUCAUAUAUUUAUAUAUAUACAUAUCAUUUUUACUUUGACUAAAUUCAAGCUAUAUACUUUCAAUUUAAGCUCAUCCAAAUACAAUAUAUAUAUGUAUAUUAAUUAAUAACAUUAAAUUGCUAGUUGACUUACCUCGGACGGUGAAAAAUCGAAAUCGGACGAUUAUUCGACGAUUUUAUCUUUCCCCCGAUCAAACUCCGAUUUCUUUGGUUCUUGAUCUAAAUAUAUCCAGAAUGAGCUAAUUUAAAUAUUAAAACAUUCAAUUUAAUCCAAAAACACAUAAAUAAGAAAAUUACCAUUUUGCCCCUAAUAUUUUACACUUUUUGCAAUUUAAUCCCAAUUGCAUAAAACACAAUUUACACAAAAUCUCACAACAACAUAGCUAGGCCGAAUCUUCCUUGUAUUCAUACAAGUCCAUGCAUUUCAUUUAUUUUUCAUUUUAGUCCCUCAAAAAUUUAUUUUUUUAAUUUAGUCCUAAUUACUCAAAUUUACCAAAAAUUUAAAGACAAAACAUGUUAAUCUAACACAUAUAUUUCAUAAUCCAUCAUCAAACAUCAUAGAACACAAUUAUUCAUUAAUGGCAUAACUCAAAAUAUUCAUCAAAAUCAAAAAUUCUAGCAUGGGUCAGAUAGUAUUCGAAGCAACGAUCUCAAAAAUAUAAAAAUUAUCAAAAACCGAGCUAGAACUCACCUUGAAUCAAGCUCAACAAUGGCCGAAUACCCUAGCUUUGUUUCUUUAAUUUCUUUUGUUUUGUUUCGUGAUGAAGAUGAAGGGAAAAAAAUGAUAAUGGCUUUUUUUUAAUGUUUAUUAUAACAUAAUAAUAUAUUAUACCUUAUUAUAACAUAUAUAUAUUAUAUUAAUAAUAUAAGAAAACCAUAUAUAUCACCUAAUGCCGUCCACUAACUUGGAAAAUGGCUUAAUUGCCACAUAGAACCUCCAAUUUAUAAAGACAAAAACAAUUAAGCACUUUCAUAUUUAACCCUCAAAUUUUCACUUUACGCGAUUUAGUCAUUUUCUCAAAUUAAGCAUACAAACAGUAAAAUUAUUUCACGAAACUUUCACAUAUAUAAUUUCACACAUAUUUAACACAGAAAAUAAUAUUAAAAUAUUUUUAGACUCGGAUUCGUGGUCUCGAAACCACUUUGUCCGAUUAGGGUCAAAAUUGGGCUGUUACAGUUUCAUUCAAUUUACACAUUUUAAGUUCUAGCUAAUCAUAUUCAUGAUAAAUACAUGUAUAUAGAUUAAGUUUAGAAAACAUUUACUUGCUAAUUGACUUACCUCGGACGAUGAAAAAUCGAAAUCGGACGAUUAUUCGACGACUUUAGCUUUUCCCUGAUCUAACUUCGAUUUCUUUGGUUCUUGAUCUAAAUAUAUUCAAAAUGAGCUAGUUUAAAUAUUAUCACAUUCAAUUUAGUCCAAAAACACAUAAUUGGGAAAAUUAACAUUUUUCCCUUGACAUUUGCACUAUUUGCAAUUUAGUCCCUAUUGCAUAAAGCACAAAAUACACAAAAUUUGCCCACACUAUGCUAGGGCCGAAUGUUCAUAGACUUCAUACAAGUCCACACAUUUCUUUUAUUUCACAUUUUAGUCCCUCAAAAAAUUAUUUUCACAAUUUAGCCCUAUUUACUCAAUUUCACCAAAAAUUCAAAGACAAAACAUGUUAAUCUAACACCUAUCUUUCAUAUUUCAUCAACUAAUAUCACAAAUCACAAAUUAUCAUCAAUGGAAAAACACAAAAUAAUCAACAAUUACAAAAAUUCAAGCAUGGGUCUUGUAGUACACAAAACAAUGAUCUCAAAAACAUAAAAAUUAUCAAAAACCAAAACCAAAACAUACCUUAAUCUACAAUAGAAAUGCCGAAACCCUAG